GACGAACGCUGGCGGCGUGCUUAACACAUGCAAGUCGAACGGAAAGGCCCUGCUUUUGUGGGGUGCUCGAGUGGCGAACGGGUGAGUAACACGUGAGUAACCUGCCCUUGACUUUGGGAUAACUUCAGGAAACUGGGGCUAAUACCGGAUAGGAGCUCCUGCUGCAUGGUGGGGGUUGGAAAGUUUCGGCGGUUGGGGAUGGACUCGCGGCUUAUCAGCUUGUUGGUGGGGUAGUGGCCUACCAAGGCUUUGACGGGUAGCCGGCCUGAGAGGGUGACCGGCCACAUUGGGACUGAGAUACGGCCCAGACUCCUACGGGAGGCAGCAGUGGGGAAUAUUGCACAAUGGGCGGAAGCCUGAUGCAGCAACGCCGCGUGCGGGAUGACGGCCUUCGGGUUGUAAACCGCUUUCGCCUGUGACGAAGCGUGAGUGACGGUAAUGGGUAAAGAAGCACCGGCUAACUACGUGCCAGCAGCCGCGGUGAUACGUAGGGUGCGAGCGUUGUCCGGAUUUAUUGGGCGUAAAGGGCUCGUAGGUGGUUGAUCGCGUCGGAAGUGUAAUCUUGGGGCUUAACCCUGAGCGUGCUUUCGAUACGGGUUGACUUGAGGAAGGUAGGGGAGAAUGGAAUUCCUGGUGGAGCGGUGGAAUGCGCAGAUAUCAGGAGGAACACCAGUGGCGAAGGCGGUUCUCUGGGCCUUUCCUGACGCUGAGGAGCGAAAGCGUGGGGAGCGAACAGGCUUAGAUACCCUGGUAGUCCACGCUGUAAACGGUGGGUACUAGGUGUGGGGUCCACUCCACGGGUUCCGUGCCGUAGCUAACGCUUUAAGUACCCCGCCUGGGGAGUACGGCCGCAAGGCUAAAACUCAAAGGAAUUGACGGGGCCCCGCACAAGCGGCGGAGCAUGCGGAUUAAUUCGAUGCAACGCGUAGAACCUUACCUGGGUUUGACAUGGAUCGGGAGCGCUCAGAGAUGGGUGUGCCUCUUUUGGGGUCGGUUCACAGGUGGUGCAUGGCUGUCGUCAGCUCGUGUCGUGAGAUGUUGGGUUAAGUCCCGCAACGAGCGCAACCCUUGUUCACUGUUGCCAGCACGUUAUGGUGGGGACUCAGUGGAGACCGCCGGGGUCAACUCGGAGGAAGGUGGGGAUGACGUCAAGUCAUCAUGCCCCUUAUGUCCAGGGCUUCACGCAUGCUACAAUGGCUGGUACAGAGAGUGGCGAGCCUGUGAGGGUGAGCGAAUCUCGGAAAGCCGGUCUCAGUUCGGAUUGGGGUCUGCAACUCGACCUCAUGAAGUCGGAGUCGCUAGUAAUCGCAGAUCAGCAACGCUGCGGUGAAUACGUUCCCGGG
rnacentral:rRNA from 1 species